rnacentral:rRNA from 1 species
AUUGAACGCUGGCGGCGUGCCUAAUACAUGCAAGUCGAACGGAGUGGCGCACGGGUGAGUAAUAUACAGCUAAUCUGCCCCUUGCUGGAGGUCAACAGUUAGAAAUGACUGCUAAUACCCCAUAGCAAGGGAUGAGACGAUAUCGUAUCAGCUAGUCGGUGGGGUAACGGCCUACCGAGGCUAGGACCAGUAACUGGUCGGAGAGGAUGAUCAGUCACAUUUGAACGGAGACACGGUCCAAACGUCUUCGGGAGGGAGCAGUAGGGAAGAGUGCGCAAUGGGGGAAACCCUAACGGAGCAUCGGAGCGUGGAGGAUGACACUUUUCGGAGAGUAAACGCCUUUUGUUAGGGAAGCGGUACCUAACGAAUAAGCACCGGCUAACUCCGUGCCAGCAGCCGCGGUAAUUC